AUUCAUUUUGGGCAAACUGCAUCGAAAGGGCAGGGCGCAAAGCUUCCGGUCUACCGCCUGAAAAGGUCAUGACAGCGGGGUUGCCAGA
rnacentral:ncRNA from 2 species